rnacentral:rRNA from 1 species
UACGUAGGGGGCAAGCGUUGUCCGGAAUUAUUGGGCGUAAAGAGCGCGUAGGCGGUCCGGUAAGUCGGUUGUGAAAGUCGGGGGCUCAACCCUCGGAUGCCGAUCGAUACUGUCGGGCUAGAGUCCGGAAGAGGCGAGUGGAAUUCCUGGUGUAGCGGUGAAAUGCGCAGAUAUCAGGAGGAACACCGAUGGCGAAGGCAGGUCUCUGGGCCAUAACUGACGCUGAGAAGCGAAAGCAUGGGGAGCGAACAGG